UGCAAGUCGAGGGGAAACGGCAUCAAGCGCUUGCGCCUGAUGGACGUCGACCGGCGCACGGGUGAGUAACGCGUAUCCAACCUGCCCCACACUAAGGGAUAACCCGCAGAAAUGUGGACUAAUACCUUAUAUUUUCCACCAAGGGCAUCGUCGAUGGAACAAAGAUUUAUCGGUAUGGGAUGGGGAUGCGUCCGAUUAGGUUGUUGGCGGGGUAACGGCCCACCAAGCCUUCGAUCGGUAGGGGUUCUGAGAGGAAGGUCCCCACAUAGGAACUGAGACACGGUCCUAACUCC
rnacentral:rRNA from 1 species